rnacentral:rRNA from 1 species
ACUGGUGCGCGAGAUGAGUAUUCUAAGGCGCUUGAGAGAACUCUGGAGAAGGAACUCGGCAAAUUGACACCGUAACUUCGGAAGAAGGUGUGCCUUUAGUAGGUGAACCAUUUACUUGAGCCCAAUGAGGCCGCAGAGAAUCGGCGGCUGCAACUGUUUAUUAAAAACACAGCACUCUGCAAAGACGAAAGUCGACGUAUAGGGUGUGACUCCUGCCCGGUGCUGGAAGAUUAAAUGAUGGGGUGCAAGCUCUUGACUGAAGUCCCAGUAAACGGCGGCCGUAACUAUAACGGUCCUAAGGUAGCGAAAUUCCUUGUCGGGUAAGUUCCGACCUGCACGAAUGGAGUAAUGAUGGCCACACUGUCUCCUCCAGAGACUCAGCGAAGUUGAAAUGUUUGUGAUGAUGCAAUCUCCCCGCGGAAAGACGGAAAGACCCCAUGAACCUUUACUGUAGCUUUACAUUGGACUUUGAACAGAUCUGUGUAGGAUAGGUGGGAGGCUUUGAAGAGUGGACGCUAGUUUGCUUGGAGCCAACGUUGAAAUACCACCCUGGUGUGUUUGAGGUUCUAACCUUGGUCCCUUAUCGGGAUUGGGGACAGUGUAUGGUGGGCAGUUUGACUGGGGCGGUCUCCUCCCAAAGUGUAACGGAGGAGUUCGAAGGUACGCUAAAUACGGUCGGAAAUCGUGUUGAUAGUGCAUUGGCAUAAGCGUGCUUGACUGCGAGACUGACAAGUCGAGCAGGUACGAAAGUAGGACAAAGUGAUCCGGUGGUUCUGUAUGGAAGGGCCAUCGCUCAACGGAUAAAAGGUACUCUGGGGAUAACAGGCUGAUACCGCCCAAGAGUUUAUAUCGACGGCGGUGUUUGGCACCUCGAUGUCGGCUCAUCUCAUCCUGGGGCUGUAGCCGGUCCCAAGGGUAUGGCUGUUCGCCAUUUAAAGAGGUACGUGAGCUGGGUUUAAAACGUCGUGAGACAGUUUGGUCCCUAUCUUCCGUGGGCGCUGCAAGAUUGAGAGAGCCUGCUCCUAGUACGAGAGGACCGGAGUGGACGCACCUCUGGUGUAUCGGUUGUCACGCCAGUGGCAUCGCCGAGUAGCUAAGUGCGGAAGAGAUAACCGCUGAAAGCAUCUAAGCGGGAAACUCGUCUCAAGAUGAGUCUUGCCGGGGCCUAGAGCCCCCUGAAGGGUCGUUCGAGACCAGGACGUUGAUAGGCUGGGUGUGGAAGCGCGGUAACGCGUUAAGCUAACCAGUACUAAUUGCCCGUGAGGCUUGACCCC